rnacentral:lncRNA from 1 species
GAGAAAGAAAAUUAAAAUAACCACAAGAAGUAGAAAUAUACUUUUGUUAUAUUUAGUGCAUCUUCUGUGUGUGCUCAAACGCAAUGCCUCAAGGCGCAAGAUAAUUUUAUGACCAUCAAUCUUUUGCAGCCAUAUGCAGACUUGAAACAUUGGCGGUGGUUCUAAGGAACUUGAAAAUUAGAAAAGUUUCAAAAUGAGUGACUAAAUAUGAUAAUCGAAAUUAAUUAAAUAUACACGCCUUGUAAAUAUGAAACUAAAUUACUCAAAUGUAUGUGCCUCUUCGCAGCAAUUGCUCGUGGUGGAAACUUUACUGCAAAGACUUCCUCAAACCCUUGAAGAUCACACUCUUCCUGGCAACAAAGAAACAGAGUCGAUAUACGAAGAUGAUUUUACUAACAAGUGAGAGCUUGCAAAUAUUGGAAGGAUAACGAUUGCUCAUAACCCAAAUCCCCAAUACCCUCUAAUAUCUCACUCGAGUGAGUUCAAGCCCCCAAAAUUCACUACAGUGAAACUCUCGAAACAAAAUUCUCUUCAAAUAUUCUCAACUCAAAUUUGAUAAUGAUAUCUCUUGAAGGAAGGCAAAAAAUCUAACACUGAUCAAAUUGGCUUGUGAACAAUUAAUGUUCCUGGCCAUCAUUCAUACUAGGUGUGGCGAACAAUUAAGCUGCUUAGUAUCCUGAACCUGAUAACUUACACAAACAAAAACAACUUGCCUAAAGUUUAAUAUUUAGAGGCAGAACGGUAAAGAAGAAGAUAUAUAUUGAUACUAAAAUUUGACUUGCGUUACCCUGAUGUCAAGAAUAGCGGGAUCUCAUGUGGGCAAAAUCUUCGCAAUACGAGAUGCUUGCAAAAUUGAAGCAGCAUCUUAUCACCUGUAAUUUAAUUAAGAUAAUAACUUUCCCCGACUAUUUCAAUGCAUUAUUGGCAACUAAAUUCAGAGGGCGCUAAUUAAAUACCCUUUUAACAAUAUCUUCUUAUUCUUCUCUAAUCUAGCAGUUAUUUGGAAAAUCUAAAUGACAGUCAUGCAUCAAUGGCGUCAAAAUUUGGCUACAAAGCAGCCUACAAAAGGCUUCACCCUCUGAAUGAGAGCAUGAAUUCGAAUAAUAUGAUGAAUGAAGAAACAAAGGCAUAAUACCACAAGAAGUCAAACUUUUCCCCAGAGCUCUGUUUCUGUUUGUGCUAAAGCAAAUGGAAACCAGUGGAAAUGAAUUUCUAUGAACUAGACAUAUCAGCCAAAACAGGUACUCUGUGCAAGCAAAGUAAAAAAGAGUUACAAACAAAUUUAAGAUUGAUAUGAUAAUUAAAAUUUCAGUCACCAUAUAAUUAAUAGAAAACUUUGUACACAAUGAUUUAUUGCAUAUUAAGAUUGUAUACCUAAAUUUUAAUUGCUAUGCAAAAUAUGAUAUUAGCAUUAGGAGACCGCACCAAAACGUACCGUAUUGAAUGUGCCUUUUCACAACCAUUGUACAAGCUUUGAAGCUUUGGCACAAAUGCUUUUUCAAACCCAUGAACAUGAUGCACCCGAGAGAUGCAAGAUAUGAAAUUGUUACAACAGCAGGCAUUGAAACAUUUGUUAAGAAAGGAAGUUUAUGAAAAUACGCCUUAACAUUCAUUAGAUACAUGUCUUCAGGAAUCAAUUCAUCUGUAAUAACAAUUUUCAAAGAGCAUUAACUGCUUUAAGCCCCUCAACAUCACAGAGAUCUUCAAUUAAAAUAGCGCAGAUCCGGCCAUCACUAUUACUUCUACUGCUCUUUCGCUUUAGAGAACGCUUGAAUUACAGAAUGCAUGUAAGGCUUUCUUGUUUAAGGUCCAGCAAACCUUGCACAAUAACAACAGAGGCAGUGGUUCCAUUGCCAGCCUAAUCCUUGGUCUCACCAAUGUUCUGCACGAGUAGGAAAUCAACCUUAAAAUUAAGAAUGAGUUGCAAAAACUGUUUAUGGCCCUAAAGAACUUGAAAAUCGGAAAUGAUUAAGAAUGAGUGAGUAAACAUUUUAAUCGAAUAAACAUACAAAACUUGAAAACCUAACAUUGAAGUACUCUGAAUGAAUGUGCAAUUGCACGAGCUGGUGACAACUGACUUUACUGCAAAGGCUCUUUCAAACCCUUGGAGAUGAUAAAAAUAAAAAUGCAAUGCUUGAGCUUGAGCUUGAGCUUGUUUUAACAUCAUCAUAGUAGGGAAUUUUGAUAUAUCUUUACUUCUCUGUGGUUCAAUCAUUUACUUCUCUGUUCUUGUUUAUUCACAACAAGAUAUCAAUAGAAGAAGAUGGAAAUGAAAUUCUAUAAAAUAAAGCAAGUGAAUUACCAGCAGAACAUUUUAGCAAUCCUUUGGCUAAACUUUUCAUUUUCUUAGCAUACUCUCCUGCCUGCAUCAUUAAAACCAAAUUAGAUUGGACCUGUGAAUUGCUAGUGUGGUUCUGACAUUUCCUCGAAUCCCUGGUGAACAUAAUUAAACGCGUAUGAAAUAAAACAAAGUGGGCUAAUGUACUACUAAAAACAAUUACACAAUUACUUUAAAGAAUUAAUGUCACAUAAAUUAUAUAUAAAAAAAUAAGAUUAUCAUUAUACAAGAUAAAAUUGAUAAUUUAUUUUUCAACAUUACUGCAAAUGUAUUACAGAGAUUUUGUCUCUCAGGAAGUUACACAUAACAAAUUUUCGUACAUUAAAAAAUAAAUUACAUUGGGAUUUUCUAUGAUGUUGUAUGCAAUUUUACAAAAGAGCACAUAUUUUUUAAAAGUAAAUAAAUAUAGAAAUUUAAACAGACUACACUUGUAUUUUUUUAUUAUUUAAUCUUUAGAAAACAAGUUUAACAGAAUUGAUAACUAGGAAGUUUUACAUAUUAUUUCAUUGCAAGCAACAACGAAGUAAAUCAGAGGAGGAGGAGAAAUUACCGGCGAGUGAUAUCUUACGGCUACCACGUGAUGUGGGGAAUGUGAGAUAUCUUCUCCUUUCCCCUCUCUAUGACGGUUUUCCAAAAGGGGACAUCCCCAAAUUGUCAAUUUCUGCAGCGUCGUCGUUCGAAGGAGGUAAUCCGGCAGCACCUUUAAUUUGGGGCAAUCCCCAAUUAGCAGGGAAGAAAGACGUGGUAUGUCUGUUGUCCUGCGAUCUUCUAGAAUGGGCAGUUCUUCCAAAUUUUUACAAGAAUAAAUACUCAGUUCCUGCAGCGUCGUCGUCCGAAGAAGGUAAUCCGGCAGCACCUUUAAUUUGGGGCAAUGCUCAAUUUCCAAGGAAGAAAGACGUGGCAUGAUGGAGAUGUUUUCCUUCCUCGUAAUCCUGUAAUUCCACUCUUCCAAUUCAUCCAAGAACCAAAUUUUGAGAGAUUUCAAUUUGGGGAAGGCAAUAACUGAUGAUGACGAUGAAGAUGAAGAUGAGUCGUCCUCACCGCUUUCUUUUAUUCCCAAAAACUCAUUACCCACUCUUUUUACACUUUUCAAAUUGCAUAGGAUGAGUUUUUCCGGAGGCAAUUUUCCCAAAGGAGGCAAAUGCUCACAGUUAAAACACAAGGAAAGAUAUAAAUUCCUUAGAUUGGUUAGUAAAGUCAACCAUUUGGGAAAAAUGACGCCUCCAUAGGAUUCAAUCCCUAAUUCCUCUACAUUCAAAGGCGGUUGUAAGGCUUCAAGAAGUUGUUUAUCUUUCUCGUUCUUCCUCCUCCCUUCUUCGCCUUCCCCAUCUACGACUCCACCAAACACAAGACGCAAACGAAGGAGGUUUUUCUUAUUGUAAAGUUGUAACCUCUCAACCUCAUCUACAUGCGAUACAUUACUCAGCCCUUCUAUACUACAUUUACCACGGAGUUGAAGAUUUUUCAGAGAUUCAAGCCUACAUGUGCUGCCGCCAUCAACACCUCCACCCACAACAAACUUUUCUAAUGUUCGAAGGCUGGUCAAUCUGGAAAUCCCUAUUGGAAACUCCUCAUGUUCUUUAACUUCCCAAUCCCGGCUGGCAAUUCUCUAAGAUAUUUGCACCGCCUAAUAUCUAGCUUUUGUAAAUUAUAUAAUUCACACAAAGUCUCAGGUAGUCUCGCUAUAUAUAAUUUAGACAACUUAAGAUAUUAAGAUAUUUUAAAUGUAUCAAUUUUCCAACAUUAUUUGGAAUUUCUGUAAUCCAAUUUGUGCCUUCAUACAAAAGCUUGAUCGAUUGCCUUAUAACUAAUGCCCUUAAACAUGCCAAUUUAUUAAAUAACUCCCGAAGGAUGCUAUUAUUAAGAGACGGAUUGAAAAAACCUUCAUCAUAAAUUAAUAGGGUACGCAAUCUAUUAAGUCCAUAAAUGGUCAUAGGAAAUGAAGCUCCUCCUCCAAAAUUUAACCGUAAGUGACGGACUUUGUCACCAAAAAAUUUUAUGACUGAUUCCUUGGUACCAUUAAUUUCUAGCCACAAACAUUCUUUGCUACUUACAAAUUGGGCAAAAUCAUGUACUAUGUCAUGCAUCUUACAACUCGUGAAAUCAUCAUCGUCCUCAUAUAUUUUAAACUCUUGAAAGAAAGAGUGUGUUGCUAAGAUGUUGAAAUACUCUUCUCCAAUCAUCUCCAUUUCUUCGUCUUCUUCUGCAUUAAGGUAACCUUGAGCCAUCCACAGAUCAAUCAACUCCUCUUUAUCCAUCACGUAGUCUUUUGGAAAGACAGCACAAUAUGAGAAACACCGUUUUACCAUAGAAUUGGAGGGCAAAUCGUUAUAACUCAACAACAAAGGAGCCAAAAGACCUUGCCCAAUCUCUUCUACUUUCCACAUUUCACUCUCUAAAAUUCUUUGCCACUCUUUUACUGUACUUUUAGAGCGCAAGAGAUUCCCUAUUACCUUUGCAGCAAGAGGCAGGCCUUUGCACUUACAUGCAAUUUUUCGCCCGAUUGGUUCUAAUUUUUCACAAUCCUCAAAAGAACGACCGAAAAAUGCUAACUGCUUGAACAAUGACCAGCAUUCCUCUUCAACCAAUUGCUUGAUGGAGAUAAUAUUUGUUGAUCCCAUCAUACGUGCAACUAACUCAUUACGUGUGGUAACCAAAAUUUUACUUCCGUGGAGACCAUUUUUUAGACAACGGAAGAAUGGUUGCCAUUUAUUGUAAUCCCCAUCCCAUACAUCAUCUAAGACAAGAAAAUUUUUUUUUCCUUUAAUUGAACUCUGGAUACGGCUCAUAAGAGAUUGGAAUUCGUUUAAACCAGAAGCUGACUUCCCUAGACCUUCAAUGAUUGCUUUGGCAAUCCUAAUCUGAUCAAAAGUGUCCGAUACACACACCCAUAUAACUUUUUCAAAAUUUCUUUUCACCUCAUCAUUAUUAUAGGCUAGUUGUGCAAGAGUGGUUUUACCUAUACCCCCUAACCCAACCAGUGAAAUGACCUGAAGGCCAUUUUGUUGUUCACUACUUUCACACAACAACUUGCUUAAGAGCUCACUUUUCUCAUCAACCCUACCGCAAACCUCUCCCUCAUCAAUCAAGGACGUGGUUCGCACUCUCUCUGGUUUCUUAACAUUGUUACUCACAUUCUCAACUAAUUUGAAACUAUCUUUUUGUCUGGCAAUAUCAUCUAGCUUUUCACUGAUUUCUCUAAUCUUGACAGCAAUAUCAUGACGAAGACUGAGUUGUUUGAAACCACCAAAGCAGUUUGAGGCAGCAGGAAAGAAGAAACAUACCUUCGUCAAAAAAGUAACAAAAGCACCGUCGUUAUCAUCAUAAUCAUCAUCGCCUCCCUCAUCAAGCUGCAAUUUCCGUGUUUCAGUGAUCCACUCUUCCAACACAUCUUCCAUGUCGUAGGAUGCGUCUCUGAGCUGAUCCAGCCAAAAAGUAACAGCUUUGUCCUGCUUCAUUUGCCUCUGCUCUGCAUCUUCCAGCACAGCUUGAAUGGCUUGAAGAUUGGUGGUAAGCUUUCCCACUUCUUGUUCGACACCCGUCACAAGCCUCCACUUUUCUUUCACCUGAUCUUGAGCAAUGGAUUUCAGCUGGUCCAGGAGAGGGGAAACGAUCGCAUGAGCCAUUCUGAUAUUAGAUCAAAUGGUAAAUGCUGCAAUUGCUUUUCUUUCUAAACUGCUCAGAGGAAAGUAGCUUUUAUGUAUUCUGUGAGAAUGCUCAUUCAACCAUGUUUGCAUUCUUCUUAUACUAAUAGGAGAUUUAAUUUUUACCCUCAAGUCAAUGUCAAUGUGAACGUUCUUUUGUGCUGCAAAUUGAAGGAGUCCCCACAGGAGUCACCGUCGUGGUUACUUGCUGCUCUUAAGAUAAUUAGUAACAAAAUAUUUGUAAACUGCAACAAAAAGCUCAGUGCAAUCUAUCUAUGAAUCUUGUGAGUUCACAUAUAAUACAGUCGAUUUAGAAUAGUCAUAAAUUUUUUUUAUUAUAAAUAUUAGUAUAUUUUUAAUGGUAUAAUAUAUAUCGAUGAAACUAUAUAGAGUAAUUUCGCCUAAUUGUAUAAAUUCAUUACGAAUAUCAUCACAAAUUUGUAUUUGGUCGGGACCGUGCGAGUGAAAUUUUUGAUAAAAUCGUCUCCUGACAAUUUAUUUAUUAUAUUCCAUUCCUUUUAUUAUCAGGUAGGCCAAAGCCAUUUGGACAUUUGAAAAAGUAUGUGAUUCUGUUUUAGUCUAUUAUGUCACGACAAAAAGAGAAUUGGAAAAUGUAACAUUCUCAAAUUAAUUUGUAGUGGAAAAGAGAAAAAUAAGACAAAAGUUGGAAAAAUCAUGCAGCCGACCCUUUUUUUUAUCUGAUUGCGCAAUAUUAGGUAGGCGAAUGCGACUUCAUCGAUAUCACACAGCAGUGGUUCUGUCAUUAAUUUUUUUCUUUUAUUUAAUUAAGAAAAGGAAGAAAAGAUAGCACAUGUUAUGAUUAUUGUGAAUUUUCCAUCCCUUAUAUAAAUUCUCAAAUUUAUUUAAAUUGUGAGUCAUAGAAGUAUAUUACCUAAACUAUUUUAUCAGGCCAUGUUCGGAUACUAGGAUUAAGUAUGGAAUUGGACUAAUUUUGUGAUUAUAUUUUAUAUCAAAUUUGGUAAGCUUAAUUGAAUUGGACUAAGGGACUAAAUUUAAGUUUAAUCCUAAAAUUAUGGGAUUAAUAAUCCUAAUUUACACAUUCCUUUAGUUGGGACUUGGGAUAAGAUUAAAGAAAAAAAGUUAUCCAUUUAUGAGACUUUAAUUUAUGUCAUUAUUUUUUAUUUAUACUUAAUAUUAAUUAAUUUAUUAAUUUAUUUUUAAUUUAUGAUUUACUUAAAAUUUAUUUUUAUUUAUUAUCUAUUAUCUGGUUAAAUUAGAACUUUACUUCUACUAACUCUUGCGAUUAAUUUUUCAUUACUUGCGUAUUUGAUAAUUUGCCAAUAAAAUUAACCAUUUAAUAAUUUCUUGCAUUAUUGAUUGUAUUAAAUUUAAUAAUCACUAAUAUAAUAUUAAAAAUAAUCAUGAAAAUUAAUAAUACCUUCAAUUAAUUGAUUUUAUAUACUUUUUUUAAAUAUUUGAUAAGAAGUUGAUAAAAAUUAAUUAAGGAUUUAAAAUUUUAUUCAUUUUUUAUUUAUUUAUUUUAUCAUGAAUACCCAGUAUCUUACAAUAUAAUUAAUUUUCUUAUUCAGACUACUCAGCAUCAGCUCCUGUAAAAUUUCUUACAUUAUAAGCAACAAAAUAUUUAUAAACUACAACAAAAGGCUUAGAUCAAUCCACCGAUGAACCUUUUGAAGUUAUAUAUAAUAUAUUAAUUGUUGAUCUAGAAUAGUCUUAGUGGAUAGAUUUUUUUAAUUAUAAAUAUUAAUAAAUUUUUUAUCGUUUAAUAGAUAUUGAUGAAAUUAUAUGGAGUAAUUUCGCCUAAUCAUAUUAAUUCAUUAUGAAUUUCAGCACAAAUUUGUAUGUGAUCGAUCUGGACCGUGUAAGUGAAAUUUAUUUACUAUAUUUUUCAACUUGGCCGACAACAUCUUUUUGUCAGGUAGGCAAAAGCAAAAGCCAUUAUCUCAUUAAUUGAUUUGGUCAUUUGAGAAUGUAACUCUAUUAUGCCGUGACAAACUCCAAGAUCUAAUUUAGAGAGCGACCCAAAUAAUGGUAAUUAGUAAUUUAUUACAUCUGCAGUUAGAUAGAUACUUUGUCUGGGAAAAAAAUAAAAUCAGUUUUAUAAUGAUUUUAAUUAAUUCAUUUGGUCAUUUGAAAAAGUUGUGGCUCUGUUUUAGUCCAGUGUCAAUAUAUAACUUUAUUAUGUCAUGACAAACUUUAAAAUUUAAUUUAGAGUGUGACUCGAAUAAUUUUAAUUAGUAAUUUAUUAUAUCUACAGUCGGAUACUUUGUUGAGAAAAAAAAAAAUAAAAUCUGUCCCAUAAUGAUUUUAAUAAAUAUCAUACUAUUGUCUACGGACUUACCUCAUAUUACAAAGAAUUAAAAUAUGCGAAAGAUAACUAAGGAAUAAAAUUUUUCCACAAUGAUUUAUAAAAUUGCUUUUGAAGAACGGUUAUGAUAUUAUAUUAAAUUACUAAGAAUUUAGUUAACCUCUCAAGAAGUCUAUUUGGUUGACUUCUCGAGUUUAAAAUUCGAAUGUCAAAAAAGAUAAAAGGUUAAAAAAAUAUUUUAAAUAUUAUCCACCCUUUUACUAUUUUAAUAUACAAAAAGAAGAAUUACUUGUUUUUAACAAUAGCAACCGGGGGCAUAAUAUAUCUGAUGGAUUUUUUUAAGGAACAAAACUUAUUAUAUCUCCUAUCAAAAAUGUCAUUUUUGUUAGUAAAAGGAUAUCUAUAUCUCCAAAUUUUGGAAAAAUGGUUACCAGCGCUUCCAAGUCCUAAAUUUUCAAAAAGAGACACUAAAACUCAUUUUUUACUACAAUACCCUUUACUUUUAUUAUCCCAAAAGUUAACUUUAAUUUUUUUUAUAAUAAAUAGAAAUAUAAUAUUAAAAUAAAUGUAUUAAAAUUUAAAUUAUUAUGAAAAAUAAUAAUUUUAAUAUUAUUAGUAUAUGAGACUUUUUUAAUUGUAAAAUGUAUUUAAUGCAAAUAUUUAUUUAAAAUCUCUAGAAUAAAUACAAAUAUAUUAUUAAAAUAAAUAUAAUAAUUUACAUAUUUAAAUUUAUUUUAAUAUUAUUAAUCUACUACAUAGAUUACAUUAUUUAUAUAAUAUUUGUGUUUACUAAAAAUUUGCAAGUUAAAUUUUUCGGGAUACUAAAGGUAAAGAGUAUUAUGGUCAAAAGAGAGUCUUGAUGUCAUUUUUAGAAAACUUGGGGUGUUGGUGACUAUUUCUCCAAACCAUGGGGAUAUAGAUAUCCUUUUCUCUUUUUUAUUUUAAACAAGUGGUGACUAAAGAUUAAACUGUCAUAUAUUCACAAGAUAUUCACCACAAAAUUUGUAGGAAAUUUCUUCUUCCCUAAGCGGAAAAUACAAAACAAAAACAUAAUUGGCAAUUUCACUAGCAAAACUAAUAAUACUUUUGUUCCAUAUCCAGGGGUAGAGCUCGGGGUAAAUCUUCAUGACGCCCAAAUUCAAAUUUCAAGUGUUAGCUGGGAAUUAAUUUUAGACAAUUUUAUUUAUUUAUUUAUAGCUAGUAUGUAAUUGUUAGGUAUUUCAAAAUUUGAGAAUUUUGUGAUUCUGUGAGAAUGUUGAUUCAAGCAUGUUUGCAUUCUUCUUAUAAGUACCAUAGGAGAUAUUUAGUUUUUACCCUCAAGUCAAUGUCAAUGUGAACGUUGUUUUGUGCUGCAAAUUAAAGGAGUCCCCACAGGAGUCACCGAUUUGCUUUGAGAAUUUUGAGAAUUAUGUUUUGCGAGUGAAAUUGCCAUUUUGUCAUAAUGGAAUUUUGCUUUCUGAUCAAUAAUUGAGAAUUUUGCUUGUAGCUACAGGCUGCAGCGAUUUUGAUUUGACGGCUUUGAUUCAUAAUUGAAGUUACUGUUGCAAGUAAAAACUAAAAAAAUUAACAAAAUAAAAAUCAAAGACUUAGGUCCAUGUUGCAAGUAAAAACUAAAAAAAUUAACAAAAUAAAAAUCAAAGACUUAGGUCCAUGUUUUAUCAAAAUUUUAAUAAAAGGCUAUUUGUCAUUUUGUCAUAAUGGAAAAAUGAUUAACAAAAUAAAAAAAUCGAAUUUACUUGAUUUUAUUUUACAAAAUAUAAAUUAAAUUUCUAUUAUAUGUAUAAAGUUUAUACAUCAAGUGCUUAGGGGUCAAAUCAAUCUUUUUAUACCUAAUUUUUAAUAUUUUACUUCGAAACCUCAAAAAUUUUUAAAGUUUGUUGGGUCACAAUCCCCGCUAGGAGUGGGCAAAUUUGUGUUCAUAUCAACUUGAAUAGGUUUUGGGUUGAUUAGGCUAGAACUGGAUCAGAUCAAAAAGUAUGAGAGAAAUUAAUUGAGCUUCUCCCAAGAAAAAUACAUACAGAUGAUUGAUAUAUAACCAUUAAAUAAUAAAUAUGUUAGACUUACAUUUAUUUUUUAGCCCUAAAAGUAUGAAAAAAUUAAUACUUUCCGAAUUUAUUUUUUGUACCGUAAAGAAUCAAAUUACUCACAAAAUUAUUUUUAACUUUCAUCAUGCAAACAAACAAAUCAUCAUCAAUUUCAAUAGAAAGAAGUAGAAUAUGAUGUAUUUAGGACUUCCUACUCUAUUAGCUAGGUUAAUAACAUGUUAAUUGUCACAUCAUUAAUUUUAGAUUAUAAAUUUUAUAUUCAAACUUUGUAUGACUGCUCCUUUUUCAAUGAUCUAAUGUUAGAGUGCAAUUUAUGCACUAGUUUUGCAUUGUUUACUUCCUUUAAUAUUGAUAUUUUACACUUAAUAAUAGUGAUUUACUUGUAUUUUAUUUUUGUAGGUGCAAUUCUAUUGAUUGGUGCUAAAAUUGAGAUACAAGAUGAUGUUUAAGGAUGGUUGUUCUCUUGGAUAAAUUAUGAGUGUCAGAAGAACUUUGUUGAUAAGGCGUGGGCGCGUGCUGUCAACUACGGACCUGCAGUUUUUAGUUUAAUGUGUUUUGUAUUUUUGGUUAUUUUUGUAAUUAUGAAUUUAAUGUUUCAGAUAUUAGUAUUUUAUUUUAAAUAGAACUCUAGAGGAGAAGAGAGGGAGAGUAUUUAAGGGAGGAAUCUAUUGUGAAAAAUGUGAGAGAUUGGAGAAAAAGAAAGAAACCCUAGAUCUAAACUUUUCUCUUCUCUCUAUGAAGAACUAAACCUAUUUUUCUAGUUGAAGGUUAAUGAAGCUUUGAUUCAUCACUACUGUGAGAUCUUUCUUAUGCUUUAAUUGUUUUAUUGCUUUUUGGGUAUUUGUUUAUUUUUUGAAUUAUUUUCAUGAUUAUGUUUGUUAAUUAGGUAAUUGGACACUAUUUAAUUAUCAACUUAAUCUAUUGUCAAUUCAAUGAUUCAUCGUAUGAAGAUUUUAAUGUUUGUGACAAAUAACAUAGCAGUGAGUUGUAUUAUGAGAAUAAACAAUCUAAUUUAAAUGAACCAUCGUAUGUGUUUGUUGAUUAGGAUUUGGGUCUCUCUGGUUUUUCAGGCUGUCAAUUGAUAUAAUCUUAUGAUUGUAUUUAGGGUUGUCUAUUGAUUAGGGAAAUAACCAACGGUCGUACCUUGGUUAUCGACUAGUUAAGGAGAGAUUGGCUAUUAGAGGGUCUCAGUAGCUAUAACCGGUGUAUUCAUAAGUAGUAAUAAUUUAUAUUUGAAUCAAUGAUUAGUAGUCGAAUCAAGCUCAGUUAAUUCCUUCAACCAAAGCUUUCUCCAAUUUGAAUUACAACUUUAAUUUGCAUUCUAGUUAUUUUAAUUUGAUUUCUAUUAUUGUCAACAACUCCCCCAUUUUACGUUUUACAUUUUAAAAGGAUUUAAAUAAUUACCGAUCUCUGUGAACACGACCCUGCUCAAUCAUUAUACAUAAUUUAUUUAGAGUAUGUAUUUAUUUUUGCUGUCUUCGACAAUCAUCAAAUUUUGGCGCCGUUGCCGGGGAUUGGUGUCGUUUAUUUAAUCCUUUUUACAUUUUACUUGGUGUAUGGUUCAUUCUUCUCGUACAGGUACACUUUCGUUUGAUCCUGAAAUUGAGAAGACAGCUCGCCAGCUGAGACAGCAGACGAAGCAAGCUAAGCAACGAUUCUCGUCGCCUUUGCUUUUUGAAACAGAUACAGUGUCUGAUUUGAUUGAAUCAUCUAGCGAUUCAGAAGAACAAGUGAUGGAUAGAGCUGCACCUGUAGAAAGAACUCUUAAAGAGUUAGCUGAACCAGACUUGAAUCAGCAACCACUCUGCAUUCAAUAUGUAGACUUGGAGGUAAAUUUUGAAUUAAAGUCUGGUCUUAUUAAUUUAUUACUCAAGUUUCAUGGUUUUGCAGGUGAAGAUCAUCAUAAACAUCUCAAGGAGUUUCAUGUUGUGUGCUCAAGUAUGAGGCCACAAGGCGUGACUGAAGAGCAGAUUAAGCUGUGUGCUUUUCCGUUCUCUGCAGAUGGGCUAGCUAAAGACUCGUUGUACUACUUGCCUCCUGGAUUGAGUACAACGUGGAAUGGUUUGAAGAAGCAGUUCCUUGAGAAGUACUUUCCUGCUUCAAGAGCUGCCAACAUCAGAAAAGAUAUUUGUGGGAUCAGACAACUUCCUGGGGAGAUUUUGUAUGAGUAUUGGGAGUGAUUCAAACAAUUGUGUGCCAGCUGUCCUCAGCAUCAGAUUUCUGAUCAACUUCUUAUUCAAUAUUUUUACGAAGGACUGUCAUUGAUGGAUAGGAGUAUGAUAGAUGCUGCUAGUGGAGGCGUGUUGGUGAACAAGACCCCUACUCAAGUAAGGGAGUUGAUCUCAAAUAUGGCUGCCAAUGCACAACAAUUUAGCAGCAGGCAAGAUCCCACUUCAAAGAAGGUGAAUGAGGUAAAUAUUUCUUCUGUUGAACAACGUUCAGAUAAACUUACUUCUCUUGUGGAAAAGUUUGUUUUAGGUAAUGUACAAUAGGUGAAGACUUGUGGCAUCUGUUACAAUAUGGGUCAUUCAACUGAUAUAUGUCCUACGCUUCAAGAAGAACCCGUUGAACAAGCCAAUGUAGUUGGAGGAUUUCCAGGCAAGCCUCAGAAGAGGUAUGAUCCUUAUGCACAAACAUACAAUUCAGGGUGGAAGGAUCAUCCCAACUUCAACUAUGGAGUUAGGCCGUCAGGAUUCCCACAACAGUAUCCACCAAGACAACCAGCACCUCCACAGUCAAACUCCAAGUCAGGUAUAUCUCUUGAAGAAAUUGUUAAAUCACUUGCAACUAACACUCAACAAUUUCAGCAGGCAACUACAGCAAGCAUUCAGAAUUUGGAGAACCAAAUGAGUCAAUUGGCCACUACAAUGAGCCGUCUGGAGUUUCAAGUAUUAGGGAGAUUGCCUUCACAAUCUGAGGUAAAUUUAAAGCAAAACGUUAGUACUGUCAUCCUUAGAAGUGGGAAGGAGUUACAAGAGCCUAGUAAGAAAGUGACAAAGCAUGUAGAAGAUGAGCUUGAGAAGAAUGAAUUGAUGCCUAAAUCUCAAGAUGCGCAACCCACCAAAGCGAAACCCCUACCUAUUGUGAUACCUCCUCAUUUUCUAAGCCGGUUUGUAAAAUCCAAGAAGGAGGAACAAGAGAAAGACAUCCUUGAGACAUUUCGCAAGGUUGAGGUAAAUAUUCCUUUAUUAGAUGCUAUAAAACAAAUACCUCGAUAUGCUAAAGUUCUUAAGGAACUGUGCACCUCCAAGAGAAAAUUAAGAGGAGAUGAAAAAGUUCACAUGGGGGAGAAUGUUUCAGCAGUUCUCCAAAAGAAAGUACCUCCUAAGUGCAUGGAUCCAGGUAUGUUUACUAUCCCUUGUAAAAUUGGUAGUGUUAGAGUUGAAAAUGCUAUGUUAGAUCUAGGAGCUUCUAUUAAUGUCAUGCCUCGUUCCAUUUAUUCAUCUUUGAAUGUUGGUCCAUUGAAAAAAACUGGCAUGAUAAUUCAACUAGCUGAUAGGUCUAAUGCAUAUCCUGAUGGGGUAUUAGAAGAUGUCUUAGUACAAGUUCAUGAGUUGGUUUUUCCUGUUGAUUUUUAUGUACUUGAUAUGGAAGAGGAUAACUCCUCUAAUUCUUUCCCAAUUUUGCUAGGAAGACCUUUUCUUAACACUACUAGGACUAAAAUGGAUGUACAUAAAGAGACUCUCACUAUGGAGUUUGAUGGAGAGGUUAUAGAAUUCAAUAUGAAUGAUGCCAUGAAAUAUCCUAAUGAGAAACAUUCGGCAUUUUUUGUGGAUGUUAUUAACCCUAUAAUGCAGGAAGUUUUUUACAAGGAAAAGACGAAGAAAUUUCAUGAUAGAAUGAUUUUGAGAAAGGAGCUCUCUGUUGGUCAAAAAGUUCUUUUUUAUUCUAAGCUUAAACUUUUUCCGGGUAAAUUACGUUCUUGCUGGGUUGGACCUUUUAUUAUUACUAAUGUUUUUCUUCAUAGUGCAGUUGAGAUUCGGAGUCCGACCUCUGACAAAGUUUUUAAGGUUAAUGGUCAUUGGUUAAAACCUUUUUAUAAAGGUUUUUCGGUGAAUAUUGUGGAGGAUAUGGCUCUCAAGAGUCCCAAUUAUGGAGAUUGAUGCAUAAAUGUGUCUAACCAAAGACAUAAAACAAAGGCGCUUUUUGGGAGGCAACCCAAAUGAUUUAUUUAUUUUGGUUUUUGUUAUAUCUUCUUUUCAUUUUGAUUCAGAUUUUUUAAAAAAAAUAAUGUGUUUGCUUAUUUUGGCCAGAAGAAAAUGUUUGAUAAGGCGUGCCCACGUCUUAACUAAUAAGUACUUCUGUGAUUUUUAACGUAAAAUGGUUUUAAGGCGUGCGCACGUGCUUAUUAAAAAAGUACUUCUGAAAUUUUUAGUGUCUCAAGUGAUACAUCACUAAAAAAAAAAUUAUUUUAUUUAUUUAUUUAUUUGAAAAUUAAAAAAAUAAAAAAAGUUUUUUUUCUUUUCUUUCUUUUAUAUUUUUAUUUAUUUGAAAAAAAUUUAAAAAAUGAAAAAAUAAAAAAAAAGUUUUUUCUUUUUUUCUUUUAUAUAUUUUAUUUAUUUAUUUAUUUGAAAAAAAAUUUAAAAAAUAAAAAAAUUUUACUGUUCACAAAAUCCCUAAUUCACAGAAUUAGUGUUCUUCUCCAGCCGCUCCAGCCUUCACCGAGCAGCCACGCAGCACCAGCUCCAUCCCCAGCGCGCAGCAUCAUCCCCAGCCCGCGCGCAAGCAACCAGCCCCAACCCGCGCAGCACAACCAUCUGCGAAUAACCUGAACCAACAGCCGUGUACCUGCAAGCUCCAGCCGAGCAGCAACCAUCCGCAGCCGGCCUACGCCCUGCAUUCUAGCCGCGUGAAUCAAAAUCCGUGAGUUCAAUUAUUGUAACAAUGCCGAAGAGGAAAGCAUCAACUUCCAAGUCAUCUAAAAAGACACUCGUCGCAAAGAAAUCCAAGAUUUCCGCUCCCACUACGGUUCCAUGGAACACAGUUUUAGAUUCACGCCAAGCCGUGAGAUAAAGAUCGAAACAUGGAAAAGGCAUGAGUGUUUUGCCACUUGCGGAAUCCAAUCUCAGAGGGUGCCUCACAUUCACGACUCAACAAGAGAAAGAAAUGUACAAAGAUAUUUCCAAGCGAAAAAUACUUCCAGCUAAGUAUAUUCAUUACCCGACUCUUGAAAAAUUGAAUGUCAAGAAUAGUUUUGAUUCUUUGAUAGAUAAGAUUGGUUUGCGUAAGUUUGUUGAUGUUGAUUGUUUGGGUUAUGUUGAGUUGAUUAGGGAGUUCUAUGCUACUUUUCAAUUUAAUAUACUGAAUGAUUUUACUUUGCAUACCUCAGAUGUUAUAAAGUUUAGGUUAAUGGGACGAAAUUUUUCACACUCUAUCACGGAUUUUAACCUAGUUUUAGGAUUCAUUGAUGAUGAUUAUUCUUCUAGUGAUGUAUAUUUAGGGACAACUUGUGACUUUAGCGAAAAUUUUGAGCCUUAUGGUCUUUGGCGUAAUUUAUCUGUUGAUCACAAUGCCUAUGACCCAAGUAAAUCAAAGAGUUCUUUCUUACGUGAUCCUGUUUUGAAAUGUAUGCAUCGGUUCUUAGCAUAUAAUUUUUUAGGAAAGAAAGAUCACUCAAGAGUUUUCUCUAAAACUGAGUUUUGUUUUAUCUGGUGCAUAUUAAAUGAUGUGAGGCCUAACUUAGGUUUUUGGUUAGCAGAUCAAUUUCAAAGUGUGCUUAAACGGUAUAGGACUUUAUUUCUUGGUUCAUACAUUACUCUGUUAGUUAUAAACUUAUGUGUGCUUGAUCAUGACAACAAUGAUUUAUAUCCUGCUUGCAAAAAGAAAUUUUUGGAUAUGUCUGUGUUUGAAAGAACAGGUGUGGUCGAAUUCAAGGAGGGGAAAUUUCAGUUUACUGAACCAGGACCCACCCAACUUCCAAAGAAGUUUUAUACUAGGAGUGGUGCUACCUCUGAUGACGAGUUUGACGACGAAACUGCGGCCCCACCAACUAUUCCUUUUACAUCCGCACAACCUUUGAGCAUUCAGUUAGAGAAAAUGGAGCACAAGCUGAACAAGAUGGAGCAGAAUUUGGCCUCAUACUUCGAGAGUGUGGGAUUUAUCCCACCAUUUCCACUAAGCCCAUAGACGUUAUGAGGAUCAAAGCUCACAAUUCAGGAAAGUUUUCGCCUUUAAUCUUUUAUCCUUACGCUUUAAUUUUUAUGUGAGCUUUGAUUAUCUUACAUUGGGGACAAUGUAAGUGUCUGUCAAUGACAAAUUUAACCCACUACCACCAUUCAUAAUUAACCAAAAUCAAAUAAAUUAAAAAAGAAAACACAAAACAAGGAUAACUACUAGUUGUUUUGAUCAUCCUUGCUUCUUUUUCUUAGCAUAGCUCUUGUAAUGAAAAUUAACAAAAAGGGCCAAAAGGGAAGCAUUAAACACAGUAUUGAAGCACCAACCCCAAAACCCAGGGAAACCAAAUCCCGUGAAAUGAUAAUUCAGCAUCAAAAUGAAAAAUGUUAUGGAUGGCUGUGAUGGGUCUGAGGAUGUGGGGUCCAAUGAGAGGUGAUGAUGAUGGUGAUGUUGAUGUUGAUGUGUGGUAGAGGAUGGAUGUGAGGGAGAGGUAAGUAAUGAUGGAGUGAAUGAGGAUGUGUGGGAAGAAAGCUAGGGUUUGGUCUUGAGUCCACGUGAAGUUGAAGACUUGUGGGUGGCUUACAAGCAAUAAUGGAGUGUUAAGCUGAUUGAAUUUGAAGCCAUGGCUGGUUUUGGGGGAAGAUUGAUUUGGGAGAGAUGAUGGUCAGAGGAAUGGGGGAGUUUAGAAAGUUUGGGAUAUUGUGACGGGUGUUUUAGGCAUAUUUUUUCGUCUUAGCUUAAAUUUUUGUUAAAAAAAUGAUAAAUUCUUUUCUCAUAUCAAUUUAAAACUCCGAGUAUGUUUCCAAUUCUUCUUCUAUAGUGUCUAGACCUUUGUUUCAACGGCAUCUUUGGACGCGGGUUUCUUCUUUUUUGGUUAUUUCUUCUCAAACUUGUGCAGAUUACAUGCACUCAACGUGGAACCCUUUUGAAUGGAAGUUACUGUUUUGCUGGAAUCGGGACCAAUUUUUUGACAAAAAUUUCGCUAUAAAAUAUACAAUUAAAGUCGAGUAAGAUUAAGUAAAGUAACAUCUUGUAUGGUAAAGUACAUCGAGUAAGGAUUUCUAUAAUCGAGCUAGAAAGUAUAAUUAAAAUUAGAUAAGAGUGCCGCGGAGCAUUGUUUUAAAGUUACAGUAUCAAAGUAUUUAAUAAAUAUUUAUUAUUGUGACUUAAAAAUUAAGUUGGGAGUACAAAAAAAUCAAUAAUACAUUUAUUAAUUUUGUCAAAAUUAUUAUUUAAAAAUCAUAUAUACAAUACAAGAUCAACAAUUAUAUUAUAGCUUCAGUUCCUUUUUCACAAUAACUAUAACUACAACACGGUAGUACUAAAUAGGAAGUCGAGUAUGAUCAAGUAAUUACAUGUUAUGGUUUUUUGGUAUUACAUGAUUCUUCAAACUGAAAUUUGCGAUCAAAAUUGUAUCAAAGAAAUCACAGAGACACUCUGUUUGACAAAUCUGCAGUAGAAUUUGCACAAUUUAACUGGAUUGCAGAGAGUGAAUAAGAUUCCAAAGCAACAGGCAAUUAUUGUUAUUAAGAAAACAAUUCAUCGCUAGAACAAAAUUAACUUUUCUAACAUACUAGAAUUUAACUGGAGAAAAAUUGGAAUAUACGACGUUGUAUCACAUAUAGUAUUUAGACAUCAAGAAAAGAAUCCCUCUAUUAGUGAACUAUACUUGCCAGGAAACACGGUGAAAUACCACUACCUCCCUACUAGAUUAAUGCAGCAAAAUUGGGCAAUUGACUUGAUUAACUCCAAGAAAUUUACGCAGUCACAUUCUUCCGGACUAUCCUCUUUCUUCGCACUUUAGGAGCUGUUGUUUCCCCUUACAGAGUCGACAUUCCCUUGUUUGAUGCCAAGGAGCCCAAGCCCAGAGCCAAUGGCAUUCUUUGGUAUCAACCACUUUGGGAACUUUUGAGUUGAGCCAUUGACAUCCUGAGACGGCCUGUUGUGAGCCUUCUUCAAAAGGUCAUCUGACUGAAGUAGCGGAUCCGCUUCCACUCCUAGCCAAGCAAGCCUUGAUCUUUCUCCUAAUUGGACAUUAAGAACCCUGCAUGGAAUCCAUUUGAGAAGUUGAACAAUAGACAAAGUCCAACACAUAUAGGCAGUAAAGAAGAAUUUGGACAGCAAUUACUGACUGUUUAUGCACAGGGCUGAACAAAUGGGAAUAUUAAGGCACUUAAAAGUUGGAACCAUAUUCACCACUUGUAUUUCCUCAGAGAACUAUCUCAGAGUUCUGUUAAUUUAAAACCAUUCUAACGUAUUUAACUACAAAACUAGAGAAAUCGUACUUCUGUAGCGGAGUCUCACUAUUGUUAAGGAUCUAGACUUGGAAAGUAUGCAAGUUGAUUAGGUAAAGAAAAAUUGAAAUAAUACUUGGUGAUAGAUCAACACACUUCAAUAGAAACCACACUAACAUCAUAUCAGACAAAUAAACAGAUUCCCCGAGUCAAAGUUUAACAAACAAAACAUUAAAACAAGGAUAAUUUGGUACGACCAGAAUAGUCUAUCAAUGUAUAUAGAGAGGGAGAGACCUCAAAGCAGCGCUUAAGAACAGUGCUACUCCAAUAACAUCAAUAUGGUUGAUGACCGCUCUAUCAAAUCCAUUGGAAAUCGUAUACUUAUAAUUUUUUUUUUCAAACUUUGUCUAAAAUAAAUGAAUGAGAUAAGAUAAAUUCGAAUAAAUUAAUCUGCAUAAUGACACAAGAAACAAAUGUAAAUUGACCACAAGUAGAAAUAUACUUUUGUUAUCUUCCAAUUUCUUUCCCUUGAGCUCUGUUUCUGCGAGUGCUCAAAAGCAAGACACGGGCCUUGUUAAGAGUAUAGCUGAAGCUGGUGACGUGUAUAAGCUGCUGAUGAAGCUGCUGAGCUGGCUGGCUAGUGAUGUGUAUAAAUUGAAGGUGCUGAGCUGGAUUGGGUUGUUGUUUACACCAACUAAAGCUGUAACAGAUUAUCCAGCUGGCUUGUUAUGAUUGGAAAUUAGAUUAGUUUGUUAAUACAGCAAACGAUUAGCUCUGUUUUAGUAGUUAGCCUUGAAUGUAACUAUAAAUACUGGCUAACACGUUUUCAGUGUUAAGCUUGAGUUUUAAUCAAUAAAAAUCAAUUCAGUUAAAGUUUCUUUGUUAAUUUUCUUUCACUUUCUCACUUGCCAAACAACCUAUUAAUUCUAAAAGGCCUCAAGAUAUAAUUAUCAUCAUCAAUCUUUUGCAGCCACAUGCAGUACUUGGAAAAUGUUUAUGGCCCUAAAUAACUGGAAAAUCAGAAAACAUUAAGAACAAGAGACUAAUCAUUUUAAUCGCAACAAAACAUGCACACUAUGAAAAUAUAAAAUUGAAUUACUUCGAAUGGAUGUGCCUCUUAACAGGAAUUGCACAAGCUAAUGAGCAAGUGAGCCUUGAACAGUUAUCACUCAACUCAAACUAAAAUGAAAUUACUGUGGACAUGUGAAUUAAAAAUAGAUGUAAAAGUAGUUUUCUCAAAGCAAAGUCAAGAUAAGAGAUUAACUCUGCUCCGUAAUUACAUUAAAAAUAACAAACAAUGAAAAACAGAGCUAGAGAAGAACUUACCUGUGCGUUGAGACCAUGUGGGGAAUGUGAGAUAUCUUCUUAGAUUUGGUUUGAGAAACCCUGCCAAUUAAAAUUUCGGUCCCCAUGUAGCAGAAUUUCUUAUUUUUCCUUUGUACACAAAUGCAGACACUUAAGCAAAUUAAGAUUUCUUAUCUAAAGCAAAUUAGGAUUUCUUUUGACCCUGCAAAUUACAAUUUCAGUCCCCAUGUAAUAGGAAAAUUUUGUACACAUAUUUAUAGCAAAUUAAUAUUUCAUACCUCACAAUAUUUAUCAGAACCAUCAAUCUUUAGAAACCACAUGCAGACUUGGUAAACUGUUUAUGGCCCAAAAUAACAGGAAAAUUAGAACAGAUUUUUAAGAAUGAGCGACUAAAUAUUUCAAUGGCAACUAAAAUUACACAUCUUGGAAAUCUGAAACUCAAGUACUCAGAACACUGUUAGUGCAUUGCAUAAGUCAAUUGCAUAAUCUUGGGUAAAAAUUACGCAGCAAUUAAACAAGCUGGGAACUUUAGUGCAAAUGCUUUUUCAUAAUCUUCAAUUGCAUAAGUCAGUUAGAAUCAAUCUUUCUUAAUCUUUCAAUUCACAUAUGAGAGCCUGAUAACACAAGGAAACACUGUAAGUGAAUUGUCAACUGUGACAAAUUUUGGGUAAAAAUUAUCAACUGUAGUUAUCUGCAUAACAUUUAGUGUCAACCCCAAAUUCCUUACUGAUCCGUGGAAGCAUUUCAGCCCACAGACGGUUAGCUUUGUCAAUAUACGGCAACUCAGGAUUCUAUAUUUAAACUAUGAUGUUUGAUGACUUGCUGAUACAAAAGACAUUGCCCCAAGCACUUUUUUACAUUAGCUAAAAUCAAGCCAAUCACUUCCAUUUGUUGCAGUUUUAAUGCAGAAAGAAAAAGGUGGGGAAAAAAUCUGCAAGAUGCCACUUGUAAUACCGCAUGUUCGCAGAAGCAGAGUUAAAUAAUUACAAAAUUACAUUCUUUAUGAAAGCUUGCGAUUAUUGGGAGAGCUCUACUCAAAUUUAAUGAGAUAUCUCUCAGAAGGGAGAGCUCUAAUAAUAUAUAAAGCCAAAAAUCUGACACUCAUCAAAUUGGCUUGUGAACAAUUAAUCUUCCUUGCCAUCAUAAAUGCCAGGUGUGGUGAACAAUCUUCAUUCUGACAUUUGCCUUAAUAAGCUGCUUAGUAUCCUUAACCUGAUAACUUACACAAACAAAAACAACUUCACUAAAGUUUAUUCUUUAAAGGCAAAACAGUAAACCAGAUGAUGUAUGCUGAUACAAAAAAUUGACCUGAGUUAUCCUGAUGUCAAGAAUCACAGAACCUCACGUGGGCAAAAUCAUCGCAAUACAAGAUGCUGAAUUCAAGCAACAUCUUAUCACCUGUAAUUUAAUUAAGACAAUAACUUUCCUCAACUAUUAGCCUUCUCAAUUUCAAUGUAUUAUUGGCAACUAAAUUCAUAGGGGACGCAGCUAAUUAAAUGCCCUUUUAACAAUAUCUUCCCCACCUAACAAUUAUUUGGAAAAUCUAAAUGACAAUCAUGCAUUGAUGGCAUAAAAUAUUGGCCACAAAGCUGCCUACAAAAAGGCUUUAAAUUCUUAAUGAGACAACGUAUUCGAACAAAUAUGGUGAAUGAAGAGACAAAGCAUAACACCUCAAGAAGUAAAGCUCUGUUUCUGUAUAUGCUCAAACCAAUGGAAACCCAUGGAAAUGGAUUUCUACGAAUUAGACAUGUCAGCCAAAACAGGUACUCUGUACAGGCAAAGUAAAAGAGAGUUACAAAAAAUUUUAAGAUAAUUAAACUUUUAAUAACCAUAUAAUUAAUAGAAAACUUUGUACACAAUGAUUUAUAUGAGAUUAAGAUUGUAUACCUAAGUUUUAAUUGCAAACUAAAUAUACACAACAUGAUAUUAGCAUUAGAAGACUGCACCAAAACGCACCGAAUUGAAUGUACCUCUUAACGGCCAUUGUACAUGCAUUGAAAGUUUACCGCAAAAGCUGUUUCAAACGUGAUGCAUCUUAGAGAUGCAAGAUGAGAAAUUGUUAUUACAACUAGCAUUGAAACAUGUGUGAAAACUGUUAAUGGACCUAAAUAACUUGAAAAUCAGAAAAGAUUAGGAAUGAGUGACUAAGCCUGCUAAUCGCAACUAAACGUGCAAACCUUGAAAAUCCAAAAUUGUACUCGAUGAAUGUGCAAUUGCUCAAGCAGGUAAAUUUCCUGCAAAGGCUCUUACAAACCCUCAAAGAUGAUACUCUACAUACCAUGGUAACCUGAGUAACAAAAAGAAACACAGUGAAUAUUAAAGGGCAUUCUGACAAUGCAAAUUUGUGUAAAUUAACAACUGCGGUUACCUGCAUAAUAGUGUCAAUACCGAAUUCCUUCCUCCAUGGAAGCAUGUGAUCAGCCCACAUGUGCUUUGCUCUGUAGCUUUUGAAUACCUGAAAUUGUUAUCACAACCAACGGUGAAAAAUGGGUGAAAAAAGGGUAAUAGUAGCAUAAUUGAAUUUGCUUAUAGAGGAUAAACCGAUCAAAGAAAAAAACAAGACAGAAAUGAUGAUCUUAGUACCUUAAUAUCAUGCAAUAAUAAUCAUCAUGCCUUCUAGGCAGCUAUCCAUCCUCAAUUGAAACAGAGCAGACCUGGCCAUCACUUUCUUCUUCAAAGUCCAGCAACUGAACGUUGCACACAACACCACAGUGGAAGUUCCAUCACCAGCCUAAUCCUUGAUUACCCCAAUGUUCUCCAUAGGGUCUUCAAAGUCAACCUAAAAAUAAAAUGAAAAUGCAAUGCAUUAUUAUUAGGGAUCUAGUGCUUGAGCUUGCUUUGACAUCAUGGUAUUAGCAAAUUCUGAUAUAGCCAAAAUGGUGAAUAAGAUGACGUACUUGAUAAGAAAAACCUGAUUUAACAAAUAAUUAAGGAGCCGGUAACAAUCACAGAAUCUCAUCAUGUGGGGAACGCCUUGGCAACAGAAGAUGGUGCUUUCAUUCAAGCAAUAGCAACUUUCCAAUUUCAUAAGGUAGUUUAAUGGCCCUUUUAAGAACAUCUGCACCAGCCUAAUAAUUAUUCAUGGAAAUUAAUAAUCAGAAUCAUGUUAGAUUGAGAGAUGAAACAUAAUAAGCGAUUUGGCCACCAUAUAUGCAUUUAUCACCUUCAAUUUGCUCAUCUUUGUCUAGAGUAUUGCUUCUGCAUUAACUUAAUUAGCUUGCAAGCCACCUGAACAUGGUUUUAAAUAAAGUGUAAGAGCUCGAAUUCGAACGAAUUAAUCAAAUAUGCUGACAGGAGAAACAAAAGUAAAUAACCACAAGAAGUAGAAAUAUACUUUUGUUAUAUUCAGAGCAUCUUCUUGCGUCAAGUUCUUUUCCUUUAGCUCUGUUUCUGUUUGUGCUCAAACGCAAUGGCUCAAGGGCCAAGAUAAUUUUAUGACCAUCAAUCUUUUUGCAGCCACAGCAGACUUGAAAAAAUGAUUGUGGCCCUAAGGAACUUGAAAAUUAGAAAAGAUUCAGAAUGAGUGACUAAAUAUUAUAAUUGAAACUAACUAAACAUUAUAAUCGAAACUAAUUAAACGCCUAGAAAAUCUGAAACUGAGCAAUUGCUUCUGGUGGAAACUUUACUGCAAGGACUUUCUCAAACCCUUGAAGAUCACACUCUACCUGAUAACAAAGAAACAGUCAAUAUACGAAGAUGAUUUUACUAACAAGUGAGUGCUUACACAUAUUGGAAGGAUAAUGAUGAUUCAUAACCCAAAUCCCCAAUACUCCCUAUUAUCUCACUCAAGUUCGAGCUCCCAGAAUUCACUACUGUGAAGCUCUCACAACAAAAUUCCCUUCAAAGAUUCUCUACUCAAAUUUGAUGAUGAUGUCCCUCCAAAGGAGGCAAAAAAUCUAACACUGAUCAAAUUGGUUUGUGAACAAUUAAUCUUCCUGGCCAUCAUGCAUACCAGGUGUGGUGAGCAAUCUUCAUUAUGACAUUUGCCUUAAUAAGCAGCUUAGUUUCCUUAACCUGAUAACUUACACAAACAAAAACAACUUGAUUAAAGUUUAAUAUUUAGAGGCAGAACAGUAAAGAAGAUGAUAUAUAUUGAUACUAAAAUUUGACCUGUGUUAUCCUGACGUCAAGAAUCACAGCAUCUCAUGUGGGCAGAAUCUUCGCAGUACAAUAUGCUUGCAAAAUUGAAGCAGCAUCUUAUCACCUGUAAUUUAAUUAAGACAAUAACUUUCCCCAACCAUUUCAAUGCAUUAUUGCCAACUAAAUUCAGAGGGUGCUAAUUAAAUAGCCUUUGAACAAUAUAUUCUUAUUCUUCUCCAAUCUAACAAUUAUUUCGAAAAUCUAAAUGACAAUCACGCAUCGAUGGCAUCAAAAUUUGGCUACAAAGCAGCCUGGAAAAGGCUUUACUCUCUGAAUGAGAGCAUGAAUUCGAAACAAAUAUGAUGAAUGAAGAAAAUAAGGCAUAAUACCACCAAAAGUAAAACUUUCUCCCAGGGCUCUAUGUUUCUGUUUGUGCUAAAACCAAUAGAAACCGAUGGAAAUGAAUUUCUAGGAAUUAGACAUAUCAGCGAAAACAGGUAUUCUGUACAAGCAAAGUAAAAUAGGGUUACCAAAAUUUUUAAGAUUGAUAUGAUACUUGAAAAAUAGGUUUGCACAGAAUUAAUUAUUCUGUCAUUGAGAUUGUUCUUUUAUAGAGAUUUACAGCACACAUAAAACUAUUAAAUCAGUAAACUAAAUCACUGAUUUAAGGAAAGAAUAAUUUCUAGGUAGAUUUUCCUAAAAUACAUAGAUUUGCACCUAAAUAGCUAUGUUACAGCUAAUGACUAAUUUACAGCACAUAUUUUUUCUAAUUUUCUAACACUCCCCCUCGAGCUGGUUUGAAGAUAUCCUCCAUAGCCAGCUUGCCAACUAGAAAAUUGAACUGUUUUGUGUGUAGUCCUUUGGUAAAGACAUCAGCCACUUGUUCUCCAGUAGGAAUGUGCUCCAUAUGAACCAAUCCAUUAUCUAUCUUCUCCUUGAUGAAAUGCUUGUCAAUCUCCACAUGUUUUGUGCGGUCAUGAAGGACUGGAUUGUGUGCUAUUGAGAUUGCUGCCUUGUUGUCACAGUACAACUACAUAGGAGAUGAUUUUGUCGCUUUUAACUCUUCCAACAGCCUCCUAAUCCACAUGAUCUCACAAAUGCCAUGGGUUACAGCUCUAAAUUCAGCCUCAGCACUGCUCCUAGCUACCACAUUCUGUUUCUUGCUUCUCCAAGUAACCAAAUUACCACCUACAAAUGAACAGUAUCCAGAAGUGGAUCUUCGGUCUACUUUGCAGGUAAAUUUACUGCAAAGGCUCUUACAAGCCCUCAAAGAUGAUAUUCUACAUACCAUGGUAACCUGACUAACAAAAAGAAACACAGUGAAUAUUAAAGGGCAUUCUGACAAUGCAAAUUUGUGCAAAUUAACAACUGCGGUUACCUGCAUAAUAGUGUCAAUACCGAGUUCCUUCCUCCAUGGAAGCAUAUGAUCAGCCCACAUGUGCUUUGCUCUGUAGCUUUUGAGUACCUGAAAUUGUUAUUACAACCAGCGGUGAAAAUUGGGUGAAAAAAUGGUAAUAUUAGCAUAAUUGAAUUUGCUUAUAGAGGAUAAACCGAUCAAAGAAAACGACAAGAUAGAAAUGAUUAUCUUAGUACCUUAAUAUCAUGCAAUAAAAAUCAUCAUGCCUUCCAGGCAGCUAUCCAUCCUCAAUUGAAACAGAGCAGACCUGGCCAUCACUUUCUUCUUCAAAGUCCAGCAACUGAACGUUGCACACAACACCACAGUGGAAGUAGUUCCAUCACCAGCCUAAUCCUUGAUUACCCCAAUGUUCUCCAUAGGGUCUUCAAAGUCAACCUAAAAAUAAAAUGAAAAUGCAAUGCAUUAUUAUUAGGGAUCUAGUGCUUGAGCUUGCUUUGACAUCAUGGUAUUAGCAAAUUCUGAUAUAGCCAAAAUGGUGAAUAAGAUGAUGUACUUGAUAAGAAAAACCUGAUUUAACAAAUAAUUAAGAAGCCGGUAACAAUCACAUAAUCUCAUCAUGUGGGGAAUGCCUUGGCAACAGAAGAUGGUGCUUUCAUUCAAGCAAUAGCAACUUUCCAAUUUCAUAAGGUAGUUUAAUGGCCCUUUUAAGAACAUCUGUACCAGCCUAACAAUUAUUCAUGGAAAUUAAAAUUCAGAAUCAUAUUAGAUUGAGAGAUGAAAUAUAAUAAGCGAUUUGGCCACCAUAUAUGCAUUUAUCACCUUCAAUUUGCUCAUCUUUGUCUGGAGUAUUGCUUCUGCAUUAACUUAAUUAGCUUGCAAGCCACCUACAAAUGGUUUUAAAUAAUGUGUGAGAGUGUGAAUUCGAACGAAUUAAUCAAAUAUGCUGACAGGAGAAACAAAAGUAAAUAACCACAAGAAGUAGAAAUAUACUUUUGUUAUAUUCAGAGCAUCUUCUUGCGUCAAGUUCUUUUCCUUUAGCUCUGUUUCUGUUUGUGCUCAAACAGAAUGGCUCAAGGGUCAAGAUAAUUUUAUGACCAUCAAUCUUUUUGCAGCCACAUGCAGACUUGAAAAACUGGUCGUGGCACUAAGGAACUUGAAAAUUAGAAAAGAUUCAGAAUGAGUGACUAAAUAUUAUAAUCGAAACUAAUUAAACAUACACGCCUAGAAAAUCUGAAACUGAACUUCUCAAAUGUAUAUGCCUCUUCGCAGCAAUUGCUUGUGGUGGAAACUUUACCGCAAGGACUUUCUCAAACCCUUGAAGAUCACACUCUACCUGAUAACAAAGAAACAUAGUCAAUAUACGAAGAUGAUUUUACUAACAAGUGAGUGCUUACACAUAUUGGAAGGAUAAUGAUUACUCAUAACCCAAAUCCCCAACACUCCCUAAUAUCUCACUCAAGUGAGUACGAGCUCCCAGAAUUCACUACUGUGAAACUCUUACAACAAAAUUCCCUUUAAAGAUUCUCUACUCAAAUUUGAUGAUGAUGUCCCUCGAAAGGAGGCAAAAAAUCUAACACUGAUCAAAUUGGCUUGUGAACAAUUAAUCUUCCUGGCGAUCAUGCAUACCAGGUGUGGUGAGCAAUCUUCAUUCUGACAUUUGCCUUAAUAAGCGGCUUAGUAUCCUUAACCUGAUAACUUACACAAACAAAAACAACUUGAUUAAAGUAUAAUAUUUAGAGGCAGAACAGUAAAGAAGAUGAUAUAUAUUGGUACUAAAAUUUGACCUGUGUUAUCCUGACGUCAAGAAUCACAGCAUCUCAUGUGGGCAGAAUAUUCGCAGUACAAGAUGCUUGCAAAAUUGAAGCAGCAUCUUAUCACCUGUAAUUUAAUUAAGACAAUAACUUUCCCCAACCAUUUCAAUGCAUUAUUGGCAACUAAAUUCAGAGGGUGCUAAUUAAAUAGCCUUUGAACAAUAUAUUCUAAUUCUUCUCCAAUCUAACAAUUAUUUGGAAAAUCUGAAUGACAAUCAUGCAUCGACGACAUCAAAAUUUGGCUACAAAGCAGCCUGGAAAAGGCUUUACUCUCUGAAUGAGAGCAUGAAUUCGAAACAAAUAUCAUGAAUGAAGAAACAAAGGCAUAAUACCACAAAAAGUAAAACUUUUCCCAGGGCUAUCUGUUUCUGUUUGAACUAAAACCAAUGGAAACCGAUGGAAAUGAAUUUCUAGGAAUUAGACAUAUCAGCCAAAACAGGUACUCUGUACAAGCAAAGUAAAAUAGGGUUACAAAAAAUUUUAAGAUUGAUAUGAUAAUUAAAAUUUCAGUCACCAUAUAAUUAAUAGAAAACUUUGGACACAAUGAUUUAUUGCAUAUUAAGAUUGCUAUAUAAAAUAUAAUAUUAGCAUUAGGAGACCGCACCGAAGCAUACCGAAUUGAAUGUGCCUUUUCACAGCCAUUUUACAAGCUUUGAAGCUUCACCACAAAUGCUUUUUCCAACCCGUGAACAUGGUGCACCCGAGAGAUGCAAGCUAUGAAAUUGUUACUACAGCAAGCGUUGGAACAUUUGUUAAAAAAGGAAGUUUAUGAAAAUACGCCUUUGGAUACCAGUCUUCAGGAAUCAAUUCAUCCGUAAUAACAAUUUUCAAGAAUUAUCAACUGCUUUAAGCUCAUCGACAUCACAAAGAUCUCAACUAAAAUAGAGCAGAUCCGGCCAUCACUAUCCCUUCUACUGCUCUUUUCCUUUAGAGAAUGAUUGAAUUACAGAAUGCGUGUAAGGCAUUCUUAUUCAAGGUCCAAUGAUCAAACCUUGCACUAUAACAACAGAGGUAGUAGUUUCUUCGCCAGCCUAAUCCUUGGUCUCAGGAAUGUCCUCAACAGAGUACUCGAAAUCAACCUAAAAAUUAAGAAUGAGUUGGAAAACUGUUUAUGGCCCUAAAGAACUUGAAAAUAAGAAAAGAUUAAGAAUGAGUGACUAAACAUUUAAUCGCAACUAAACAUACAAACCUUGAAAAUCUAACUUUGAAGUACUCUUGAAUGAAUGAGCAGUUGCACGAGCUGGUGACAACUAAGGUUACUGUGAAGUCUCUUACAAAUCCUUAAAGAUGAUACUUUACAUACCACGAUAACCUGAUAACACAUAGGAACACAAUAAACAUUAAAGUGUAUUCUGACAAUGCAAAUUUGUGGAAAUCAUCAGCUGUGGUUACCUGGACAAUAUUGCCAACACCAAACUCCUUCCUCAAUUGAAACAUAUGAUCAGCCCACAAAUGCUUUGCUUUGUAGCUUUUGAGAGCCUGAAAUUGUUAUCACAACCAACAAUGAAAAUUGGGUGAAAAAAUUGAUAAUAUUAGCUUAAUUCCAUAUGUUUAUAUAGGAUAAACCGAUCAAAGAAUGAAAAAAGAUAGAAACAGAGCAGACCCAGCCAUCACUUUCUUCUUCAAAGUCGCACCAUAACCACAGUGGUAGUCGUUCCACUGCCAGCCUAAUCCUUGGUCACCCCAAUGUUCUCCAUGAAGUAUUCAAAGUCAACCUAAAAAUAAAUAAAAAUGCAAUGCAGGUGGAAAUGAAAAUUCUAUAAAUUAAAUAAAAUAAAAAUGCAAUGCUUGAGCUUGAGCUUGCUUUAGCAUCAUCGUAAUAGUAAAUUUUGAUAUAUCUUUACUUCUCUGUUCUUGUUUAUUCACAACAAGAUAUCAAUAGAAGAAGAUGGAAAUGAAAUUCUAUAAAAUAAAGCAAGUGAAUUACCAACAGAACAUUUUAGCAAUCCUUUGGCUAAACUUUUCAUUUUCUUAGCAUACUCUCCUGCCUGGUGAACAUAAUUAAACAAGUAUGAAAUAAAACAAAGUGGGCUAAUGUAGUAAAAACAAUAACACAAUUACUUUAAAGAAUUAAUGUCACGUAUAUUAUAUAUAAAAAAAUACGAUUAUCAUUAUAUAAGAUAAAAUUGAUAAUUUAGUUUUCAACAUUACUGCAAACGUAUCACAGAGAUUUUGUUACACAUAACAAAUUUUCGUACAUAUGAAAAUAAAUUACAUUGCAUGAAAUUUUACAAAAGAGCACAUAUUUUUUAAAAGUAAAUAAAUAUAGAAAUUUCAACAGACUACACUUGUAUUUUUUUUUAAUUAUUUAAUCUUUAGAAAACAAGUUUAACAGAUUUGAUAACUAGGAAGUUUUACGUAUUUAUACCAUGAUUGAUUCUAUAUAGAAUUUUAAUUCAAAAUAUAAUUAUUUUUAUUAAUUUCAUUGCAAGCAACAACGAAGUAAAUUAGAGGAGGAGGAGAAAUUACCGGCGAGUGAUAAAUUACCGCGACCACUUGAUGUGGGGAAUGCGAGAUAUCUUAUGCCAGUCUUCUCCUUUCCCCUCUCUAUAACGGUUUUCCAGAAGAGGACAUCUGUCAAUAGUCAAUUCCUGCAGCGUCGUCGUCCGAAGAAGGUAAUCCGGCAGCACCUUUAAUUUGGGGCAAUACUCAAUUACCAAGGAAGAAAGACGUGGUAUGUCUGUUGUCCUGUGAUCUUCUAGAAUGGGCAGUUCUUCCAUAUUUGCACAAAAAGAAAUCCUCAGUUUCUGCAGUGCCGUCGUUCGAAGAAGGUAAUCCGGCAGCGCCUUCAAUUUGUUGCAAGAACGAACUUCCAAGGAAGAAAGACGGGGCAUGAUAGAGAUGUUUUCCUUCCUCGUAAUCCUGUAAUUCCACUCUUCCAAUUCUUCCAUGUCCCAAAUUAUGAGUGAUUUCAAUUUGGGGAAGGCAGUAACUGAUGAUGAUGAUGAAGAUGAAGACGGGCCAUCCUCACUGCUUUCUUCUAUUCCCAAAAACUCAUUACCCACUCUUUUUACACUUUUCAAGUACCAUAGUUCGAGUUUUUCCAGAGGCAAUUUUCCCAAAGGAGGCAAAUGCUCACACUUAAGGCACGAGCGAAGAUAUAAAUUCCUUAGAUUGGUCAGUGAAGUCAACCAUUUGGGAAAAAUGUUGCGUCCAUAUAAUAUAAUCCCUAAUUUCUCUACACUCAAAGGCGGUUGUAAGGCUUUAAGAAGUUGUUCAUCUUUCUCUUUCUUCCUCCUCCUUUCUUCAUCUUCCCCAUCUACGACUCUACCAAACUCAAGACGCAAACGAAGGAGGUUUUGCUGAUUGUAAAGUUGUAAUCUCUCGACCUCAUCUAAACGGGACACAUUACCCAGCCCUUCAAUUCCACAUUCUCGAAGGAGUUGAAGAUUUUUCAGAGAUUCAAGCCUACAAGUAUUGCUACCAUCAACACCUCCACCCACCACAAACUUGUCUAAUGUUCGAAGACUGGUUAAUUUGGAAAUCCCUACUGGCAUGUAUUUCAACGAAUAAGUUUCAGCAUUCAGUAAACUCCUCAUGUUCUUUAACUUCCCAAUCCCCGCUGGCAAUUCUUUAAGAUUUCGGCACCGCCUAAUAUCUAGCUUUUGUAAAUUAUAUAAUUCACACAAAGUCUUAGGUAGUCUCUCUAUGCCUAAUUCAGACAAAUUAAGAUAUCUUAAAUGUAUCAAUUUUCCGACAUUUUUUGGAAUUUCUCUAAUCAAACUUGAGUGAAGACGAACAGGCGAGGAUGAUAGCCUUAUAACUAAUGAUUCCCUUAUAACUAAUGCCCUCAAACAUGCCAAUUUACUAAAUAACUUUCGAGUUUCUCUAAUCUUAUAUGUGUUUGGACAAAAACAUAGGCGCAACAGCCUUAUAACUAAUGCCCUUAAACAUUCUUUGCUACUACUAAAAGACGAAAGGAUGCUACUAAGAGACAGAUUGAAAUCACUUCUAUCAUAAAUUAAAAGGGUACGCAAUCUAUCAAGUCCACGAAUGGAUAUAGGAAAUGAAGUGCCUCUUUGAAAAUUUAACCCUAAGUGACGGACUUUGUCACCAAAAGAGUUUAUGACUGAGUCUUUGGUACCAUUAAUUUCUACCCACAAACAUUCUUUUCUACUUACAAAUUGGGCAAAAUCAUGUAUUAUGUCAUGCAUCUUGCAGCUCAUAAUAUCAUCAUCAUCAUCUUUUUUAAACUCUUGAAAGAAAGAGCGUGCUGCUAAAAUGUUGAAAUACUCUUCCCCAAUCAUCUCCAUCUCUUCGUCUUCUUCUGUAUUAAGAUAACCUUGAGCCAUCCAUAGUGAAAUUAGUUCCUCUUUAUUCAUAUUGUAGUUUUUUGGAAAGACAGCACAAUAUGAGAAACAUUGUUUUACCAUAGAAUUGGAGGGCAAAUCGUUAUAACUCAACAACAAAGGAGCUAAAAGACCUUGCCCAAUUGCUUCUACUUUCCACAUUUCACUCUCUAAAAUUCUUUGCCACUCUUUUACUGUACUUUUAGAGCGCAAGAGAUUCCCUAUUACCUUUGCAGCAAGAGGCAGGCCUUUGCACUUAUGUGCAAUUUUGCGCCCGAUUGGUUCUAAUUUUUCACGAUCCUCAAAGGACCUACGUAGAAAUGCCAUCUGCUUAAACAGUAACCAACAUUCCCCUUCUCCCAACUCCUUGACAGGGAUAAUAUCUAUUGAUCCCAACUGUAGUGCAACUGACCUAUCACGUGUGGUAAUUAGAAUUUUACUUUCAUGGUGGCCAUUCUUUAGACAAGAAAAGAAUGGGUCCCAUUUUUUGUAAUCUACAUCCCACACAUCAUCUAAAACAAGAAAAAACUUUUUUCCUUCAAUUGAUGUAUGGAUAUGGCUCAUAAGAGAUUGGAAUUCGCUUAAAUCAUAAGCUUCUUUUGACUUGCCUAGACCUUCAAUGAUUGCUUUGGCAACCCUAAUCCUCUCAAAAGUGUCUGAUACACACACCCAUAUAACUUUUUCAAAAUUUCUUUUCACCUCAUCAUUAUUAUAGGCCAGUUGUGCAAGAGUGGUUUUACCUAUACCCCCUAACCCAACUAGUGAGAUGAUAUGAAGGCCUUCUUGUUGUUCACUACUUUGACACAACAACUUGCUUAAGAGCUCAUCUUUCUCAUUAACUCUACCGCAAACCUCUCCCUCAUCAAUCAAGGAGGUGGUUCGCACUCGCUCUGGUUUCUUGACAUUGUUACUCACAUUCUCAACAAAUUUAAACAUAUCUUUUCGAGUGGCAAUACCAUCUAGCUUUUCAUUGAUUUCCCUAAUCUUGACAGCAAUGUCAUGACGAAGACUGAGUUGUUUGAAACUGCCACAGCAGUUUGAUACAGCACAAAAGAAGGAACGUACCUUCUUCUUAUGAACGCCCUCAAUCUGCAAUUUGAGCCUUGCAGUGGUCCACUCCUCCAACACAUCUUCCAUGUCGUAAGAUGCGUCUUUGAGCUGAUCCAGCCAAAAAGUAACAUCUUUCUCGUGCUGCAUUUGCCUUUUCUCUGCAUCUUCCAGCACAAGUUGAAUGGCUUGUAGAUUGCUGGUGAGCUUUUUCACUUCUUCGUCGACACCAGUAACAAGCCUCACCUGUUGUUUCAGUUCAUCAGUUGCAACUGAGCUCAGCUGCUCCAGGAGAGAGGAAACGAUCGCAUCAACCAUUCUGACAAAGAAGAUGAGAAUUCUGAAGAGUUAUUAGAUGUGCUUUUGUUGCGAAGAUAUGAAAGAAAGGAGUUAUUGCAUUCUUUUAUACUGCAUAGAAAAGGUUUAUGCUUAUCCCCACCCCACACGUCAAUGAUUGUAGAAUGUUUAAUUUCCCUGAUUCUACUCCACUAGUUGUGAUGCGUAAUUAUAAAUAUUCUCAAGUUAUGUAUGAAAAUCCCACAAAUUUGGAUCUAGUAAUGAUUUUUAUGUAUUUUUUCAUAAUCUUCUAAAAUACUAUAUCUGCAUGUUAUUUCGUGCAGAAAUAUGGCAUUGGGUGAAAAAAGUUAUGCUUAUCCCCACCCACACGUUAGUAAUUGUAGUAGCAUCUGUAAUUUCCAUGAUUCUACUCCACGGACGAACACAUUUUUUGUACUAACAUCUUUAAAUUCCCACACGUUAGGAAUUUGGCACAUAAUCUCAAACUCGUCGCAUCUUUAACGUAUGAGGUUGAUGAAUAAAUUCUUUUCUCAUAUCAAUUUAAAACUCCGAGAUUAUGUGCCAAAUUCCUAACGUGUGGGAAUUUUACCUCCUAAGUAAUCCGGCCCACUGCCAAGUGCCAACUUUUUCUCUGUCGAGUUAAUGAUGUUGUUUUGUUUUCCUUGUUUUAAUUAAUGUUGCGGAGAGAAACAGAUCGAUGCAAAUGGCUAGCCAGGUUUUGCAGAAACCGUGAAUGGUCUUGCAUGCAUGUGACAUAAAGCUUUAUAUAUAGCUUAUUCCUCCAUCAACAUUUCAAUGGUUCCAUCUCACGUGCACUUGGCUAUGAAUAAGGUCCAUGCAUGGAUCGAUCGAUUUAGGAGUUUGGACCAUCUCAUGCUGCAGAGUUAUGUGUCAUGUAUGUGUGUUGACACUUGCCAGUUCAUUUUUGUUAUAAAGAUUAUUGAUACUCGUAAAUGUACUACUUACAAAUCAUAAAUUUUGAGUUUGACACUUUAGUUUCAUUUUGUAAUCCCUACGCUCUUUAAAUAUUUGUAAUAAUAUAUUUCAAACUUUAACUCAGACGUAAUGAAUGAAGGGGGAUCCUCUUCUUAUAUAAAUUUUUAUUUUUUAACGUUCAAGUUACAUUUGAUUACGUGUACUUAUUAUCUAGUUUUGACUAUCUAAUGACAUUUGAUUACGUGUACUUAUUAUAUGAUUUUUUUUUAAAUGAUGGGUCUGGUGAGAUUUUUUACAUCUUGGAUUAGUAGGUCAAGAACGGGCAGGGCAGGGCCUUCUCUGAAGUCAAUCUUGUGAGCAACACCAGCUUUUUGGAUAAUUGGCAGCCCCAAUUCAUAAUUUUCUCAGUUGAUGUCCAUGGCCAAAAUCUGCAACCGAAGCUUAUUCUACUCUUAUUAAUCGAGAGAUAAUUUUAUCUCUAACUAAUUUAAUUGGGAGGAAAAUUGAGAGAGAUAUCCACUCUGUCCUUAUUAAUUGAGAGAUAAUUUUACCCUUACCCAAUUUAAUUGGAAAGGAAAUCGAAUUCCAACAAUAACUAGGACUUGAAUCCAUGCACUUAAGCUAACUUUAAGUUUUAGGAUGCAUGGUUAUAAUGUUCUUUAUUUAAAUCCUAACAAAUGGUGGGACUUGAACUUGUGCCUACAAACAUUGAGUGCUUAGGGGCUGCAAAAUUUCAUAACUUAAUUUUAGUUGAUGUGGUAUGUGCCCUAUCACAUAAAUAUGUAGAUAAUAAUAAUUAAUACAUUAACAAAAUGAAAAAUAUUAGUUUACAAAAUACAAAUCCAAAUUUUUUGUGUGACAAGGGACUUAAAAGGGAGAGACUAAACAAAUGUGGUGAAAACGACAUGUAUUACUAAAACUAAAAAUACGAAGUCUAGGCAAUUGAAAACAUCGGGUUUUUUAUUUAAAUAUCCCCAAUUUGUCCUUAAAUACCAAAUUUAUACCCUAUUAUAUACAUAUACCUCACGAAGAUAGGGAAAAUAAAAAAUAACCUUAAAAAAAUCAAGAAUCCACACAUUUCUUCCUCUCAGUGCAGGAAGAUGUCGAGUACGAAGUCGGGUAAGUCGAGAAUUUAGUCGAGCAAGAAUUGGAGAUAAGUAAGUUGAGUAUAUGGUCCAGUAGGAAGUUGAGUAAGCAUAUUAAAUGAGUCCAGUAUUAAGUGGUAGAGUAUUAAGUAAAAGUCAAGUAAAUUUUUUAAACAAGUCAAAUAAAAUUUAUGUAAUUUUUAAAGAGGUUGAGUAUUAAGUCGGGUUAGUACAUUGGGUCGAGUGUUAAUAUUUUUAAAGAAGUGAAGUCUGGUAAGUUGAGCAUUCAGUCGAGUAAGAAGUUAAGGCAAUUGAAUAAGUCGAGUCUCUAGUCGAGUACGAAGUCGGGUAUAAAGUCUGGUAAGUUGAGCAUUCAGUCGAGUAAGAAGUGAAGGCAAUUGAAUAAGUCGAGUGUCUAGUCGAGUACGAAGUUGGGUAUGAAAUCUGGUAAGUUGAGCAUUCAGUCGAGUGAGAAGUGAAGGCAAUUGAAUAAGUCAAGUAUCUAGUCGAGUACGAAGUCGGGUAUGAAGUAUGGUAAGUUGAGCAUUCAGUUGAGUAAGAAGUGAAGGCAAUUGAAUAAGUCGAGUACGAAGUCGGGUAUGAAAUAUGGUAAGUUGAGCAUUCAGUCGAGUGAGAAGUUAAGGCAAUUGAAUAAGUCGAGUAUCUAGUUGAGUACGAAGUCGGGUAUGAAGUUUGGUAAGUUAAGCAUUUAAUCGAGUAAGAAGUGAAGGUAAUUGAAUAAGUCGAGUAUCUAGUUGAUUACGAAGUCGGAUCUGAAGUCUAGUAAGUUGAACAUUCAGUUGAGUAAGAAGUGAAAACAAUUGAAUAAGUCGAAUAUCUAGUCGAGUAAAAAAGUCGAGUAAGUAGAUUGAAUGAGUAGGGUAUUAAUUUUUUGUUGGCAUUUUAUUGAGGCUAUUUUUGUACUUUCUUUGGUUUUUUAAGUAUGUAUAUGCAAAGUACAGAUUUUAAUAGAUGGAUGUAUAUUUUGGGUAUUACGAGAGAAACGGGGUAUAUCCCACGCAAUUCCUUCGAAAACAUCUCUGUCAAUUGCAAUGAACAGAUCACAACCCUUCAUAAUUAAACAAAAUCAAACUUGAAAAAAAAAAUCACACACACACACACAAAACAAUCACAAAAACUAUUUGUUCUGAUCAUCCCUGCUUUUUUUUAGCGUAGCUCUUGGAAUGAAAAUUAACAAAAAGUGUCAAAAGAGAAGCAUUAAACACAGCAUUGAAGCACCAGCCCAAAAUCCCAGAGCAACCAAAUCCCGUAAAAUGAUAAUACAGCAUCAAAACCGAAACAACAAAACUAAACACAAACUGAACAAUCUAACAAUCAGUGACCAAUCUCUUCCACUUUGGCCGCAACCCCAUCACACACAAUAGAUAGUACCCGUACAUGAUCACAUGCACACUUGCAUUAGUCACAAGUGCAAUAGGAAACAAAGACUGCUUCGUCUGUAACCAAAGGUAGCACAUUACGACGACGGUUGCAUGGUGGUAGACGUGGAGGAACGUGAGCCAUUGGAUGGAUUUUGACAAAAUGAUCAAAAGGGUGUCUAAGAAUUCGAGUAUUUUGGAGAGGUAGAAGAGGUAAGCGUAGAAGAAGAGGGGCCAGACGGAGAAAUGGUGGGGGGGAAACAGAGGGUGUAAUGGAGGUGGGGCAAAUGGACGAUGAUGGAGAGAGUGCAGCCAACGGCCAUGAUGAGGGAGAGGAGGAGGAGGGUGAGGUUAUGGACGGCUGUGAUGGGCUUGAGGAUGUGGGGUCCAAUGAGAGGUGAUGAUGAUGGUGAUGUUGAUGUUGAUAUGUGGUAGAGGAUGAAUGUGAGGGAGAGGUAAGUGAGGAUGGAGAGAAUGAGGAAGUGUGGGGAAGAAGCUAGUGUUUGGUUCUGAGUCCAUGUGAAGCUGAGGAUUUGGGGGUGGUUUACAAGACAAUAUUGGAGUGUUGAGGUGAUUGAAUUUGAAGCCAUGGCUAGUUUUGGGGGAAGAAAGAUUUUGGAAGAGAUGAUGUUGAGAUGAACGGGGAGUUUAUAAAGUUUUGGGAUAAUGUGGAGGGUAUUUUGGACAUAUUGUUGUCUCAGCUUAAAUUUUGGGAAAAAGAUGAUCAAUAAGAAGCUCUUUUUUUCAUAUCAAUUUAAAACUCCGACGGUGUUUCCAAAAAUUGUUUUUCUUUUUCCGUUUUUAAUUUUAAAUCAUAAAUUUAGUAAAAGAAGUUGAAUCAAGUGAUCACUUUUUUUUUAAUGUAAAACAAUUAAUUUCUUUGUGAUUUAAGCAAAUAUUGAGUUGCAUACUUUAAAUAUAUUAAUAUUUGAUUCGAAAUUUCAUCUACCGAAACUACAAAAAUUAAUAUUUUCUAUUAAAUCAAAACCAAAAUUAAAGAUGACUCCUUGUCUGCCAACUGUCAUUAAACAAAGCCAUCACUCACGUGAAAAAAAAAAGUGAUAUAUUCAUUUUAACGUAAUUUCAUACCAACAUAUCAUUCUUUUUUUUCCAAUAAUGACCUCUUUAAUUAUAAAUAUGGUAAAAGGGGAUGGGUUCGAGGUAUGGCGUCCGGGCCUUUGUGACAACGGUAUCUUUGGACGUGGGUGUCGUUAGAUUUUUGGCUAUUUUCUGGUCAAUCAAACUGGUGGAUCACAUGCAUUUUAAUGACCUCUUUAAUUAUAAAAAUAUGGUAAAAGGGGAUGGGUUUAAGGAAUGGCGUCCAGGCCUUUGUGACAAAGUUGGAUGUGGGUGUCAUUUAGACUUUUGGCUAUUCUGCUCAAUCAAACUCGUGGAUUACAUGCACUCAACGCGGACAUUAUGGAAAUGGGAGAAAAUUAUGUUAGUAAUAGCAUCUUCAAAAGUUUCUAUACAUUUUACUCUUUAAAUAUUUAUUUACUUAUUUAUAUGAUAAAUAGAAAGGUAAAAAAAUAUAUUAUUCUCCAAAAAAACUCUUUCAAAUAAAAAUUAAGUUAAUAUUAUUUUAAUCAAAUAAUUAUUUUUUAAAGGAAAAGUUAACAGCAAUUAAAGCACUUCUCUUUCUCUCUCUAAUAAAAAGUAAUAAAAUAUUAAUUGAAGUGUUUUUUAGAACCUUAAAUGUUGAUGUGACUCUUCAAAUAAGUAAUAAAAUCUUAAUUGAAGAGCCUUUUGGUGAUGGUUUAAAACCCACUGUUUUCGUUCUAAACUAAGUGAAUUUAUCUCGUGAGCUAAGUAGUUUAGGAGAUAACUCAAAUAAUUAACUUUUAUUAGUUUAAUAAUAAGAAUUUUCGAUUAUAUUUUAAAAGGUAUAAUUCAUUACAAAAAAUUACUUAAUAAAAAUAACUUUAUUUAACAUAUUACAUUUUUUCAAUAAUAAAAUAAUUCAAAUUUUUAAUUAUUAUAACAAAAAAAAUUUGUAAUAUAAUCCAUUCAUAUACCACAUCACGUAAAAUUAACCUAGUACUACAUGUAAUCUUGUUACUACUAUUCCUAUAAUAUUCUACACAUCAUAUACUAUCAAAUUCCAUCCGGCAUGCCAAAUGUGCAAAGUUUGAGUAAGACUUGUUAAAGUUGAGAGUAACAUCUUAUAUGGCCAAGCGCAUUGAGUAUGGAUUUGCAUGAUCGAGUGAGUACAACUAAAGUCGGGUAGAGUCUGGAAAAUCCCUAUAAUGUUGAGGUUGGAGAACUAUACUUUUUAAGGUACAUAAUUAAACAAUUUUGGUAAAUAUUUACUAUUAUAACUUAAAAUUAAUUUGAUUUGAUCUCAUAUAUUAUUAUAAUAAAAAAACUUAUAAUAUCUUUAUUAAUUUUAUUAAAAAUUAUUAUUUAGAAGUCAUAUAUUUAUUACACAUUGUCAAAUUUUCAGCUUUUUGUUUUUUAACAACAGCUAGUAAUAUCAACAAGACCUAAGUUGAGUAUGAUCAAUUAAUUAAAAUUAUGAUUUUUUUUUGUAUAAAAUAAUCAUUAGAUAAUUAGUCUGUAAAGAAUAUCGGCUACUUCAAAUGGAAACUUGCGAUAAAAAAUGCAUCACAAAAGUAACAAUGACACACUAUAUAAGAAAUCUGAAAUAGAAUUUGCAAAAUUGAACUGAGUUACGGAGAGUAAAUAAGACUCAAAGGAAACAUGGGCAAUUAUUAUUAUCUAGGAAACAAUUCAUAGCUAAAACAAAAUUAACUAUACUUGCCAGGAAAUAUGGCGAAUUCCACCACCUCCUACAAGUUCUUAGGUGUCUUAGAGUUUGAUGACGACUUCCAUGCUGUCUCUUCGACAGGCAGCAAAAUUGGGCAAUUGACUACAUUAACUCCAAGAAAUUUAUGCAGUCACCUUCCUCCGGACUAUCCUCUUUCUUUGAGCUUUGGUUGCCCCUAUUUCCCCUUCAAUAGAGUCAUCACUGUUUUGUUUGAAGCCAAGGAGCCCAAGAUCAGAAAAAUGGCAUUCUUUGGUAUCAAUCCCUCGAUCCCAAAGUCACGUCACUAACUUUCUGUUGAUCGCGUAGCUAGUUCAUGUAUGCCACAGCAGCGGAAGGUAGCCUGAAGAGAAAAAACCUCUCUCUCUUUCUUGCUCAGUAACCACCUGGGCACUUUUGUGCUGAGCCAUGACAUCCUGAGAUGGCCUGUUGUGUAAGCCUUCUUCAAAAGGUCAUCUGUCGAUCUUUCUCCUAAUUAGACAUCCAAAACCCAGCAUGGAAUCCAUUUGAGAAGGUGGACAAUAGACAAACUCCAACGCAUACAGACAGUAAAGAAGAAUUUAGACGCAAUCACUGUGGCUGAAUAAAUGGGCCUAUUAAGCCUAUUAAAAGUUGGAACCAUAUUCACCACUCGCAGUUCCUUAGAGAACUUUAUCAGAAUUCUGAAAAUUUAAAACUAUUCUUACAUAUUUAACUGUAAAACAAGAGAAAUUGUACUUCCGUAGCAAAGUCUCACUAUUGGUAAGUAUCUGGACUUGGAAAGGAUGCUAGUUGAUUAAGUAAAGGAAAAUUGAAAUCAGACUUUGAGGUGAUAGAUCUAUAUACACUUUAAUCGGAACCACAUUAACAUCAUAUGAGCCAAACAAACAAAUUCCCCAGUCAAAGUUCAACAAACAAAACAUUAAAACAAGAGUAAUUUGGUGUAUCAAUGUAUAUAUAGAGAUGUCGAUCAUUGACAAAUACGUAAAAGAGGGAGGGAGAGACCUCAAAGCCGUGCUUAACAACAUUGCUACUCCAAUAACUUCAAAAUGGUUGGCGACGUCUCUAUCAAAGCCACACAAUAGCUGAUAUCUCAUGUUUGCAUGUAGUCCAAUGAAAGCACCAUAACCAAGAACAUUAGUACUCACAGAUGGGUUUGUCACAGAUAACCUGUCAGGCAAUAAAAAUUGCCCAAAUUAAACAAAUGUUAGACCGGCUUAGACAGUAAACGGAACAAUUUCUAAUUUUACUUAUUUUAUAACGAAUAAGUGAACAAAGGAAUGAAAAGGAAGUUUGGCAACAGUCUUUUUACCAGCCAGAUAGUUUGACAAAGAAUCUUGCACUGCUCCUGCAGCUAAUCCACCAUACACAACUCUGCAGUCUUGUUUGGGAGUCAAAAUUCUCAAAAUGGGUAACUCUGUUCAAAUAUACUGUUUGGGAACUUUUGUAAUGUAUUUUGCAAGUCAAACAGGAAGGUAUUUCCAUAAGAAGGUUCACUUCACAUGCUCAACAAUUCAAAUUUGCGGAUGAUAUUUCUCAAAAUGGAGGGCUCUAUUUGGCUUGCCAACAAUCUUCCUCACCAUUAUCAUCCUUGCUAUACCGGUUAAACUGAACAGUCUUCAUUCUGACAUUUGCCCUAUUAACCUGAGUACACAAGAAUCCGAAACAACUGUUAGAAAUUAUAAUCUUUAUAUAUAGCCAAAAUGUUGAAUAAGAUGAUGUACUUGAUAAUAAAAUACCUGAGUUAAUAAAUAAUUAAGGGCCGGUAACAAUGUCAGCAUCUUAUCAAGUGGGAAAGCCUACGCAACGAAGAUGCUGCCUGCUUUCAAGAAAUAAUAACUUUCCAAUUCCAUAAGGUAGGUUAAUGCCCUUUUAAAAAUAUCUCCACCAGCCUAACAAUUAUUCAUUGAAAUGUGUGAGUGUGAAUUCGAACGAAUUAAUCAAAUAUGAUGACACGAGAAAGAAAAUUAAAAUAACCACAAGAAGUAGAAAUAUACUUUUGUUAUAUUUAGUGCAUCUUCUGUGUGUGCUCAAACGCAAUGCCUCAAGGCGCAAGAUAAUUUUAUGACCAUCAAUCUUUUGCAGCCAUAUGCAGACUUGAAACAUUGGCGGUGGUUCUAAGGAACUUGAAAAUUAGAAAAGUUUCAAAAUGAGUGACUAAAUAUGAUAAUCGAAAUUAAUUAAAUAUACACGCCUUGUAAAUAUGAAACUAAAUUACUCAAAUGUAUGUGCCUCUUCGCGCAGCAAUUGCUCGUGGUGGAAACUUUACUGCAAAGACUUCCUCAAACCCUUGAAGAUCACACUCUUCCUGGCAACAAAGAAACAGAGUCGAUAUACGAAGAUGAUUUUACUAACAAGUGAGAGCUUGCAAAUAUUGGAAGGAUAACGAUUGCUCAUAACCCAAAUCCCCAAUACCCUCUAAUAUCUCACUCGAGUGAGUUCAAGCCCCCAAAAUUCACUACAGUGAAACUCUCGAAACAAAAUUCUCUUCAAAUAUUCUCAACUCAAAUUUGAUAAUGAUAUCUCUUGAAGGAAGGCAAAAAAUCUAACACUGAUCAAAUUGGCUUGUGAACAAUUAAUGUUCCUGGCCAUCAUUCAUACUAGGUGUGGCGAACAAUUAAGCUGCUUAGUAUCCUGAACCUGAUAACUUACACAAACACAAAACAACUUGCCUAAAGUUUAAUAUUUAGAGGCAGAACGGUAAAGAAGAAGAUAUAUAUUGAUACUAAAAUUUGACUUGCGUUACCCUGAUGUCAAGAAUAGCGGGAUCUCAUGUGGGCAAAAUCUUCGCAAUACGAGAUGCUUGCAAAAUUGAAGCAGCAUCUUAUCACCUGUAAUUUAAUUAAGAUAAUAACUUUCCCCGACUAUUUCAAUGCAUUAUUGGCAACUAAAUUCAGAGGGCGCUAAUUAAAUACCCUUUUAACAAUAUCUUCU